GGGUGCUCCGCCGCGAUCGUGCGGCGGGCAGGUUUUUUGCGCUGGUCGGGCCGCCAGUG
rnacentral:ncRNA from 2 species